rnacentral:rRNA from 1 species
UACGAAGGGGGCUAGCGUUGCUCGGAAUUACUGGGCGUAAAGGGCGCGUAGGCGGACAGUUUAGUCAGAGGUGAAAGCCCAGGGCUCAACCUUGGAAUAGCCUUUGAUACUGACUGUCUUGAGUUCGGGAGAGGUGAGUGGAAUGCCGAGUGUAGAGGUGAAAUUCGUAGAUAUUCGGCGGAACACCAGUGGCGAAGGCGACUCACUGGCCCGAUACUGACGCUGAGGCGCGAAGGCGUGGGGAGCAAACAGG